rnacentral:rRNA from 1 species
ACUCCUACGGGAGGCAGCAGUGGGGAAUAUUGCACAAUGGGCGCAAGCCUGAUGCAGCAACGCCGCGUGAGCGAUGAAGGCCUUCGGUCGUAAAGCUCUGUCCUCAAGGAAGAAUAAAUGACGGUACUUGAGGAGGAAGCCCGGCUAACUACGUGCCAGCAGCCGCGGUAAUACGUAGGGGGCAAGCGUUAUCCGGAAUCACUGGGCGUAAAGGGGUGCGUAGGCGGUUUUUCAAGUCAGAAGUGAAAGGCUAUGGCUCAACCAUAGUAAGCUUUUGAAACUGUUAAACUUGAGUGCAGGAGAGGAAAGUGGAAUUCCUAGUGUAGAGGUGAAAUUCGUAGAUAUUAGGAGGAACACCAGUGGCGAAGGCGACUUUCUGGACUGUAACUGACGCUGAGGCACGAAAGCGUGGGGAGCGAACAGGAUUAGAUACCCUUGUAGCACAGAG